AUUCGAGCACGCGAGACUUACCAGGCCUUGACAUGCAGAGAACUUUCCAGAGAUGGAUUGGUGCCUUCGGGAACUCUGACACAGGUGCUGCAUGGCUGUCGUCAGCUCGUGUCGGGAGAUGUUGGGUUAAGUCCCGUAACGAGCGCAACCCUUGUCCUUAGUUACCAGCACGUUAUGGGGGGCACUCUAAGGAGACUGCCGGUGACAAACCGGAGGAAGGGGGGGAUGACGUCAAGUCAUCAGGGCCCUUACGGCCGGGGCUACACACGUGCUACAAUGGUCGGUACAAAGGGUUGCCAAGCCGCGAGGGGGAGCUAAUCCCAUAAAACCGAUCGUAGUCCGGAUCGCAGUCUGCAACUCGACUGCGUGAAGUCGGAAUCGCUAGUAAUCGUGAAUCAAAAUGUCACGGUGAAUACUUUCCCGGCUCUUGCACACACCCCCC
rnacentral:rRNA from 2 species